UACGAAGGGGGCUAGCGUUGUUCGGAAUUACUGGGCGUAAAGCGCACGUAGGCGGAUUGUUAAGUUAAGGGUGAAAUCCCAGGGCUCAACCCUGGAACUGCCUUUAAUACUGGCAAUCUCGAGUCCGAGAGAGGUGAGUGGAAUUCCGAGUGUAGAGGUGAAAUUCGUAGAUAUUCGGAGGAACACCAGUGGCGAAGGCGGCUCACUGGCUCGGUACUGACGCUGAGGUGCGAAAGCGUGGGGAGCAAACAGG
rnacentral:rRNA from 1 species